AUUGAACGCUGGCGGCAGGCCUAACACAUGCAAGUCGAGCGGAAACGAAGGGAGCUUGCUCCCAGGCGUCGAGCGGCGGACGGGUGAGUAACACGUGAGAAUCUGCCCAUUAGUGGGGGACAACUCGGGGAAACUCGAGCUAAUACCGCAUAAUCCCUACGGGGGAAAGCAGGGGGCCUUUUGGCCUUGCGCUGAUGGAUGAGCCCACGUCGGAUUAGCUUGUUGGUGAGGUAAAGGCUCACCAAGGCGACGAUCCGUAGCUGGUCUGAGAGGAUGAUCAGCCACACUGGGACUGAGACACGGCCCAGACUCCUACGGGAGGCAGCAGUGGGGAAUCUUGGACAAUGGGGGCAACCCUGAUCCAGCCAUGCCGCGUGUGUGAAGAAGGCCUUCGGGUUGUAAAGCACUUUCAGCAGGGAGGAAGGCUUUGGCCGAAUAGGUUGAAGUACUUGACGUUACCUGCAGAGAAGCACCGGCUAAUUUCGUGCCAGCCGCCGCCGUAA
rnacentral:rRNA from 1 species